GGCGACGAUGGGGGAGAGAGCGCCAUUGGAGACGACAAGGACGGUGAUAGUCUGACGGCUGUUGAUCUCGUCAGCGAGUCUAGUCUGCUGCAGGUAGUUGCUGAAAUCGCUGUACUGAGGGUAGUCUUUGAGCAUGUCAGUAAUAUUGUGGGCGGAGACGAUGGCAGAAGCGGCGGCGAAGGCGAGGAAGAGGAGAAGGGAUUUGGAGGCCGCCA
rnacentral:misc_RNA from 1 species